rnacentral:rRNA from 1 species
UACGUAGGGUGCAAGCGUUGUCCGGAAUUAUUGGGCGUAAAGAGCUCGUAGGCGGUCUGUCGCGUCUGCUGUGAAAACUCGGGGCUUAACCCCGGACUUGCAGUGGGUACGGGCAGACUAGAGUGUGGUAGGGGAGACUGGAAUUCCUGGUGUAGCGGUGAAAUGCGCAGAUAUCAGGAGGAACACCGAUGGCGAAGGCAGGUCUCUGGGCCGAUACUGACGCUGAGGAGCGAAAGCGUGGGGAGCAAACAGG